rnacentral:rRNA from 1 species
ACGAACGCUGGCGGCGUGCUUCACACAUGCAAGUCGAGCGAGGCCCUUCCUUCGGGAAGGUGCCCUAGCGGCGAACGGGUGAGUAACACGUGGGCAACCUGCCCCUGACUCUGGGAUAAGCCCGGGAAACCGGGUCUAAUACCGGAUACGAACUCAACAGGCAUCUGUCGAGUUGGAAAGAUUUAUCGGUCAGGGAUGGGCCCGCGGCCUAUCAGCUUGUUGGUGGGGUAACGGCCCACCAAGGCGACGACGGGUAGCCGGCCUGAGAGGGCGACCGGCCACACUGGGACUGAGACACGGCCCAGACUCCUACGGGAGGCAGCAGUGGGGAAUCUUGCACAAUGGGCGAAAGCCUGAUGCAGCGACGCCGCGUGAGGGAUGACGGCCUUCGGGUUGUAAACCUCUUUCAGCAGGGACGAAGCGAAAGUGACGGUACCUGCAGAAGAAGGACCGGCCAACUACGU